rnacentral:rRNA from 1 species
GUGCCUAACACAUGCAAGUCGAACGAGAAAGCGGGGGCAACUCCGUGAGUAAAGUGGCGACCGGGUGAGUAACACGUGACUAACCUGCCCUUGAGUGGGGGAUAACCUCGGGAAACCGGGGCUAAUACCGCAUAAUUUCAUGAGGUGAAAUUCCUUGUGAUCAAAGGAGCAAUUCGCUGAAGGAGGGGGUCGCGGCUGAUUAGCUAGUUGGUGAGGUAACGGCCCACCAAGGCAAUGAUCAGUAGCCGGCCUGAGAGGGCGCACGGCCACACUGGAACUGAAACACGGUCCAG